rnacentral:rRNA from 1 species
AGAGUUUGAUCAUGGCUCAGGAUGAACGCUAGCGGCAGGCUUAACACAUGCAAGUCGAGGGGCAGCGAGGGUAGCAAUACCUGUCGGCGACCGGCGCAAGGGUGCGUAACGCGUGAGCAACAUGCCCAUAACAGGAGGAUAACCCGGAGAAAUCCGGACUAAUACUCCAUAGCAAGUAGGAAUCGCAUGGUUUUUACUUU